CAGUAGCCGCGGGAAUACGGAGGAUCCAAGCGUUAUCCGGAAUCAUUGGGUUUAAAGGGUCCGUAGGCGGUCUUGUAAGUCAGUGGUGAAAGCCCAUCGCUCAACGGUGGAACGGCCAUUGAUACUGCAGGACUUGAAUUAUUGGGAAGUAACUAGAAUAUGUAGUGUAGCGGUGAAAUGCUUAGAGAUUACAUGGAAUACCAAUUGCGAAGGCAGGUUACUACCAAUUGAUUGACGCUGAUGGACGAAAGCGUGGGUAGCGAACAGGAUUAGAUACCCCGGUAGUCCCUGUCUCUUAUAU
rnacentral:rRNA from 1 species